AGGCACAUUUGUCAUCGCUGGUGUGGCGGCUCUCACACUCGUAUAACUGAGGCUACGACUAAGGAACGCGCCCCUCCUGCUGCGUUGGAAACUGUCGCCACAAGGAAAUAUACGGGCUACGGUGACGAUGGACGGUUGUACAUGAUGGAAGAGAAAUUAGAACCGUGUCUUGAGUGUAAUCAAUUGAGCUCAGACAUGCAGCCGGCUCAAGAGCUCGGCGCAGACUGCGGCGCCGGGGACUCCCCGUCUCCCCACUCUAAUACACCGAUGCAGUAGUUUUGAU
rnacentral:misc_RNA from 1 species